GACUCCGAGCUGUCCGACUUCAGGCAAGCUUUUUGAGACCUCCCCCGGCUGCGAUCGGCUAUUCUCGUCUACUUUCGAGGCGAGCCGCAAUGCGUCUCAAACAAGCCUGUUCUAUCACACAUCACAUGCCUUCACCACAUGCUUCACCAGAGUCCGCCAUUAGCUCCUCGCCUCUGUUGAAAUCGCUCAGACUUUUAAGAAUACUUUGCCCACCGUGCUCUCACUGCCGGAAUCGCGAUCCUUUUUUUUUGGCCGCACUACUCUGGAAACUGAAGCAACUGGCAGAUAUAUGGCUUCUUCAAUCUGUGAAUGCAGACUACCUUUGCCGUGCGGCGCAAUGAGAUCAUCAAUGAUGAGCUACCUGUUGGAGAGAUCCUGGAACGCUGGCCUGCCUUGAAAAUGGAGUCACAGAGUUUCACAGGAUAACAAACCUCAACCUGAAGAACCACUUCUAUGCGGAGUUGGAUAGACAUGUCCUCCAUCUUUAGAGCCUGUUCAGGAAGAAGGCGGCAAGCAAGGAAAGGAAACUGAAGUUCUGGAUCAGCUAUCCGACUCAUAUGACCUCCAGGAACAAGGUGACGUCCAUGUCCUCCGUGCUGCUGUCCUCCGUGCUCUGCCUGCAUAUCUGCAUGAAGAUGACUCCACGUUUCCGAGGCUGUGGCAUGUGGAGCAGUCUGAUGAUCCAGACACAGAGGACAUCGCGGUCGGACUUCUCAUGAUCAGUACCAGGUCAACAGACACCACGCUCUUCUGCCCAGAGAGGAUCGCUGUUGUCAUUGAGGGUAACGGAGUUAUCGAACUCCCCACACUGGCUGACGCAUUCAUCCUGCUUUUUGCACUGACCUUUGCCCUGCAUCUGAGCUACCCAAAAUAAUAAUAAUAAUAAUAACUUGAAUUUAUAUAGCGCCUUUCAUAACCUCAAGGUCACUUUACAAAUAAACAUACACGGACAAGACAUAAAAAACAUAAACAUAAAACAGGGGGCAGAAAUGGAAGUGUAACUGGCCAACACUUUCGACUUCACCCAGAAAGUGUUGAUGGGCCUGGAUGAGGGGAACUUGAAGCCCUUGAAGCCCAGGGUGUUGAGCCUGAAAAAGCUUUUGGCAGUUUAAUCCUACCAACAAAGUUGCACUUUCACACACACACACACACACACACACACACACACACACACACACACACACACACACACACACACACACACACUGUUCUCCUCUGUUUACAUCCUGCUGCUUAACAUCUGUGUUCUGUUGUGUUCAUUGACAGAUUUGUUACUGUUCAGCUUCAAGUUGAAGGACUGUUCGUAGAUGUUGUUUUAUACUUUUAUAUGUAUUGGGUCUUUAUGGUCCAUGUGUUAAAUUAAUACGCAGAACUGUUCCUGAAAAUUGUGUUCACUCAUAAGUGAUGGUUAAAAUACACACAGAUAUUUCUCAAGGCCCUAGCACUGUUUUUAUUUAUUUAAGAGUUAAAUAUAUUGAAUUUGUAUUGUGCUAAAAUGCAUUGUUCUUUUAUAGUGGAAAUGGAAUGUUGGUGAUUUGCCAAAGCUUUUCAAAUUAUCAAUAAAUGCAUUUUUAUAUAUA